rnacentral:rRNA from 1 species
AUUGAACGCUGGCGGCAUGCUCUACACAUGCAGGUCGAACGGUAACAGGCCGCAAGGUGCUGACGAGUGGCGAACGGGUGAGUAAUGCAUCGGAACGUGCCCAGUCGUGGGGGAUAACUACUCGAAAGAGUAGCUAAUACCGCAUACGAUCUAUGGAUGAAAGCGGGGGACCGUAAGGCCUCGCGCGAUUGGAGCGGCCGAUGUCAGAUUAGGUAGUUGGUGGGGUAAAGGCUCACCAAGCCAACGAUCUGUAGCUGGUCUGAGAGGACGACCAGCCACACUGGGACUGAGACACGGCCCAGACUCCUACGGGAGGCAGCAGUGGGGAAUUUUGGACAAAGGGCGCAAGCCUGAUCCAGCAAUGCCGCGUGCAGGAAGAAGGCCUUCGGGUUGUAAACUGCUUUUGUACGGAACGAAACGGCUCUGGUUAAUACCCGGGGCUAAUGACGGUACCGUAAGAAUAAGCACCGGCUAACUACGUG